UUACAAGACAGAAGAAGACAGGGAGAGAAAAAAAUUCAACAUCUACUUCCAACAGCGAAGUAACUUCUUUGCGAUCUGCGCGAUGUGUGCUCGGUGCCGGUUCUCUGCGCCCUUGGAGUGUGUCCGUGCCACACCCACGACUCUAUCGAAGCUUUUGCUGUCCAUCUUCAAACUUUACACCUUACUUCUUUCCCGGCUGGCGGAUGGUGGAUGAUCUUUUCUUGAUUUUGUUUCCCGAGCAACGAAUUUGACUUUCUCAACAUCAACUUCAUUCGGCCACGGCAUUGAGCGGCCGAGCAGAAGAUGAUCUUACGAAUCUUUUGGAAAUAGCCCACCAAAAAAUUACCAAAUCUUUCUGUUGAUUCUGUUCCUCUGAUGAUGAUGAGAGAAGAAGAACUUCCUAAGAGGAGUGCGGAAUGCCCUGAUUACGUGUUGGCUGGUCAUGGCCACCGGUUUUACGUUCUCCAGAAUCGAAGAUUCGCUCCGGAACCCGCAGAACAUACGGAGUUCCGGUUACGUUUUUUUUUCUUUAGCGCUGCCUUUAAUUCCCUCAAUUUUGUAGGCUUUUUUGUAAUUACUGGAGAAACUCUAAAACAAUAUAAAGAAUGAAGUUCCAAUGUA